ensembl:lncRNA
CAUGGACGGAGGAGCCUGGUGGGCUACAGUCCAUGGGGUCGCAAAGAGUUGGACAUGACUGAGCGACUUAAUUAAUUGUAGUCAGCAAUUUAUUUACUAUUUCUUAUUUUGUUACUUGUAUUAGCCUCCUCACAGAGAACUCAAGAUGCUACAAGUUGUCACAAGGUUUUGUUCUCAUUUCACUCUAGCUCAUAAAUUUUAGCAUUGAGAAAAACAAAUAGCUAAGCUAAAAUGAUGGAAAAUAAAGGUAUGGCUCACAGCCCUCCCCACUGAAAACAGAUAAUACUUUUGGAUGAGAAUAGGCUGCAGCGCUCUUCCAACUAAAUCACGAAGGAAAGGGGUUUUAUAGAUAAUAGUGAUGGAAAAGAUCAAUUUCAAUGUGCCUGGUGGGUAUAAAAAGCUAUUGAAAUACACUAUCUGCUUGCUUCCUGCUCAGAUACAAAAGAACAUUUCAUCUCCUGCAAAACCAGACACUCUCUCUUGUUAUCAGCUACAAACAUUCUCUUGAGGAUUCCUAUUCAGAGGCAGACUGUUGGUAAAACCAACAGCUUUAAUAUUCAAGACCGAACAAUGAUAUGGGAGCAUCAUGUGAGAGGCAGGAGGGGACCCAGGGCCUUGUCCUCCUUCAGUGGACCAAGUGUGGAGCCGAUCAGCUUCUAGUCACAAAGGCUCAGUCAGGACUUCUUCAUCCCCUCGUAGGUUAGGUGGUUUCAGAGCAAAGAAAAACUGCUCCACACUACACACUGCGUAGCAUACUUAUGUGUGGUUGGUUACAAGAACCAAAUGACUUUUUAAAACCCUUCUGUGUUAUAUGAAAAAAAAAAAACAAACAAACCCAUCUCCCAGCACAUCUCUGCUUCACAGCUCAGCCUCUGAGAUCUGAGUAGCACAUGCUCACAAUCUUCCUUAGGGAAACUGCUGAAUUCACCAGGCAGGUACUACUCCAAUGCUGAUAAGUUCUGAUGGAGUUCCUUAGGGAACCUCCACUUACCCACCACUCUUCUUUUGGCUCCACCUGCUUCACUCCAUCCCUGCGCACCUGUUCCUCACCUAGGUUGGUGCUGCUGCUGUUUAUCUCAUUUUGACUGAUUCAGGCAUUCAGCUUCUUUUAGAGCCUGUGUCUCCCAGCUCACUAUACUUUUGUUACUGCAGCCUAAGAUCAAAGGAGCCCUUUCUGUCAGCCACUUUGUACCCUGGAGGCUUGCGGGACAUGCUCUUGGUUAAAAGACCCGAGGCUUUUUCAUUGGGAGCCGUGUGGUCUCGUUAUACUGGGCCAGUCAUAGUGUUUGAUGACCCAUAUUGCAGACACUUUGACACAGUUUUUUAAAUGUUCUUGUUUCAUUUAGUCUAUCUUUCUGGCCUGUUGAAAUCUUUCUGAUCUCCAAUUCCGCCAUUCAGCGCAUUUUCUAUAUGUCCUGCUUCACAUUAUCCAAAAAAUAGGAUAAAUGUGCCUUCUGUCUCAUCAUUAAAAUCACUGCCUAAGGCAAAGUUCAAUGAAUGGAGAGAGGGAAGAGUCUGCAGAAGUUAAGUAAACCAAAGUAUUCUGUGUCAUUUUCUCUAGCUGUGAGCUUCCCAGGUGGCACAUGGUAAAGAAUCCACUGGCUAAUGCAGGAGAUCCUGGAUCGGGUAGAUCUUCUGGAGAAGGAAAUGGCAAUCCACUCCAGUAUUCUUGCCUGGAAAAUUCAGAGGAGCCUGGUGGGCUGCAGUCCAUGGGAUCGCAGAGUCAGACAAGACUGAGCACUCAUGCAGGCAUCUCCAGCUGCAUCUUCACCAUGGGAGGCUGUGUGUUAGCUUUUAACCAUUUACCAUGUUAUUAUUCAGGAAUGGUCCUUGCAAGAGGUAAUAAAACAGACUCCUCCCAGAUGUCCUUCUCAUGCGUGUCAGCAGCAGCAGAAGUCAAGGAGUCACUCUCUACCCUGGACUGUGGGACCAUCUGAACCAGAAGUCAGCUAGAAGAACGUGUGAAGAAGCUGCAAAGGUUGGAAAAAGAAAGAUUCCAGAAGACUGAAGAAGAUAAAACAUGGAAUCAUAAAAUUUUAAAGUACAAAUGAAUCUCAGAGAAGAUCAUGUCCACACACUUGAUCUCUUUAAGGAAACAGGCAGAGAGGUGAUGAGCUUUGCCUACAGUGAACCUGAAUCUGCAGGACCUCCUUGGGCUUAUGGAUUAGACUCCACCCUCGCCUCCUUCUCCAGUCCCCAGCCCUUCUGGUCUCUUAAUACCAAGUCUAUUAGAUGGAAGUUUCCCCGACCAGGGAUUGAACCCACACCCCCUGCAUUGGAAGUGCUGAGUCUUAACCACUGAACUGCCAGGAAAGUCCCCUACUGAGCAAAAAUCUUGGUCCAUGAAGGUCAGCAGUGAUGGGAGACAUCUUGGUGAAGCUUCUCCUUCCUCCUUUCAUCCCAAGAUCUCCUUUCCUGAAUUUCCCAUUAAUCUCCACUACCACUAUGGAGCUGGUCUUUGGGGGCCCACAGUGCCCUGCAGUGUCCCACACGUGUGGAGAAAAGCGUCCCUUACCUGCCAUGAGC